rnacentral:lncRNA from 1 species
AUUCAUAUCGCAUUGCUGCUUUUUUCAUGGCGCUUGUCGUUUGGUUAAAAUGCUUGUGGCUAAGAAAGCGAAAAUGGGUAUCAAUUUCGGACAAUCAUAGAGGGAAUUUUGGUUAAAAGUUUGUUCCACAGAAUGCUGUAGAGUAUAAUCAAGGGAGGAUAUGCAGCCUGUUUUGAUCAUAUGCUUCUAGGGGGAAAAUUCAUGGAGAUAGCCAAUUUUUAGGAGCUGUUUGUAACAUUAGCAAAGUUUUCGGCAGCCAAAAAUAAUAAUACCACUAGUGAACAAAAACG